rnacentral:rRNA from 1 species
GAUGAACGCUAGCUACAGGCUUAACACAUGCAAGUCGAGGGGUAACGAGAGGAAGGCUUGCUUUCCUUGUCGACGACCGGCGCACGGGUGAGUAACGCGUAUCCAACCUGCCCCCAACUAGGGAAUAACCUUGCGAAAGUAAGACUAAUACCCUAUAAUUUCCUCAGAUGACAUCUGACGAGGAAUAAAGAUUUAUCGGUUGUGGAUGGGGAUGCGUCUGAUUAGCUUGUUGGCGGGGUAACGGCCCACCAAGGCAACGAUCAGUAGGGGUCCUGAGAGGAAGGCCCCCCACAUUGGAACUGAGACACGGUCCAAACUCCUACGGGAGGCAGCAGUGAGGAAUAUUGGUCAAUGGGCGGAAGCCUGAACCAGCCAAGUAGCGUGCAGGAUGACGGCCCUAUGGGUUGUAAACUGCUUUUAUACAGGAAUAAAGUUAGCCACGUGUGGUUAUUUGUAGGUACUGUAUGAAUAAGGACCGGCUAAUUCCGUGCCAGCCGCCGCAGUAA